AAAUCCUGAGGAUACAACUGUGAUCAAAACAGUCUCCCCUGGCUUAUCCAUUCCACUCCGGAUGUGCUGACCCCUGCGAUUUCCCCAAAUGUGGGAAACUUGACUACAUACUUUGUGGUAGUGGGGGACUGUGUUCGAAGGGAAAAAAAAAAAAAAAACAAAACAGCCUACCCUGU
rnacentral:snRNA from 1 species